UACGUAGGGCGCGAGCGUUGUCCGGAAUUACUGGGCGUAAAGAGCUUGUAGGCGGUUUGUCGCGUUGUUCGUGAAAUCUCACGGCUUAACUGUGAGCGUGCGGGCGAUACGGGCGGACUAGAGUACUGCAGGGGAGACUGGAAUUCCUGGUGUAGCGGUGGAAUGCGCAGAUAUCAGGAGGAACACCGGUGGCGAAGGCGGGUCUCUGGGCAGUAACUGACGCUGAGAAGCGAAAGCGUGGGGAGCGAACAGG
rnacentral:rRNA from 1 species